rnacentral:rRNA from 1 species
UACGUAGGGAGCGAGCGUUGUCCGGAAUGACUGGGUGUAAAGGGAGCGUAGGCGGGAUGGCAAGUCAGAUGUGAAACCUGAGGGCUCAACCUUCAGACUGCAUUUGAAACUGCUGUUCUUGAGUGAAGUAGAGGUAAGCGGAAUUCCUGGUGUAGCGGUGAAAUGCGUAGAGAUCAGGAGGAACAUCGGUGGCGAAGGCGGCUUACUGGGCUUUUACUGACGCUGAGGCUCGAAAGCGUGGGGAGCAAAC